AAAUAUUACCGUUAGAUGGCAGCACCACCGAAAUUUAUCGACUUUAAAAUGAAUUAUUUCAUUUUGCAUUAACCAAAAAAACAGACAAAUACAGGGUUAAAAACAGUGCGGGAUUUUCGGUUUAUUAAUUAAUUCAAGAAGCAAUUAAAUAUGAGUAGCAUACUAAAACUUCAAGCGGCGUGUCUAAAAAAUGUAAUAGGAAAUUCAAUCAAGCUAAAUUCCUUGGUUAAGCCCAUAGCUGCUACCAGGAACCUUCACAUCCAAGUCGACAGGAAAAAUGCCAGUUCAAGCGACUCAGUGUCGAAGGUUUACCCCAUUGUAGAUCACACAUACGAUGCAGUGGUUGUUGGUGCUGGAGGAGCUGGUCUUAGGGCUGCCUAUGGCUUGGUACAAGAGGGCUUUAAGACUGCUGUCAUCACAAAAUUGUUCCCUACGAGGUCGCACACUGUGGCUGCCCAGGGUGGUAUCAAUGCAGCAUUAGGUAACAUGGAGGAAGACAACUGGCAAUGGCACAUGUACGAUACAGUGAAGGGUUCCGAUUGGCUUGGAGACCAGGAUGCUAUUCAUUACAUGACCAGGGAAGCCCCGAAGGCUGUCAUCGAAUUAGAAAACGCUGGCAUGCCAUUCUCGAGAACACAAGAAGGAAAAAUCUACCAAAGAGCUUUUGGUGGCCAGUCCUUGAAGUUUGGAAAAGGUGGACAAGCCCACAGGUGCUGUUGUGUCGCCGAUAGGACCGGCCACAGUCUACUUCACACCCUGUAUGGUCAAAGUUUAAGAUACGACUGCAACUAUUUCGUAGAAUAUUUCGCUUUAGACUUAAUCAUGGAAGGUGGAGAGUGCCGAGGAGUCAUCGCUCUAUGCCUAGAGGAUGGUACUUUGCAUAGGUUCAGAGCCAAGAACACAAUUCUGGCCACGGGAGGAUAUGGUAGAGCGUACUUCUCAUGCACUUCAGCUCAUACAUGUACUGGUGAUGGUACUGCUAUGGUAGCUAGAGCCGGCUUGCCUUCUCAAGAUCUCGAAUUUGUACAGUUCCAUCCUACUGGUAUUUAUGGUGCUGGAUGCCUAAUGACAGAAGGAUGUAGAGGCGAAGGAGGCUACCUCAUCAACUCUCAAGGUGAACGAUUUAUGGAACGAUACGCACCAGUAGCUAAAGAUUUAGCUUCCAGAGAUGUAGUGUCUAGAAGUAUGACCAUCGAAAUCAGAGAAGGCCGUGGCUGCGGACCUGACAAAGACCACGUCUACCUGCAGCUCCACCAUUUGCCAGCUGAACAGUUGCACCAAAGGUUGCCAGGUAUCUCAGAAACUGCGAUGAUCUUUGCCGGUGUCGAUGUUACUAGGGAACCCAUUCCAGUAUUACCAACUGUACACUACAAUAUGGGAGGAGUACCCACCAACUAUAAAGGACAGGUAUUAACUACCGUUAACGGUGAAGACAAACGCGUUCACGGACUAUACGCUUGUGGUGAAGCUGCUUCUUCAUCUGUACACGGUGCUAACAGACUCGGUGCCAAUUCUCUUCUUGACUUGGUCGUCUUCGGAAGGGCUUGUGCUUUAACCAUUGCUGAAGAACACAAACCCGGCGAAUCUAUUGGCAGUAUUAAAGAUAAUGCUGGUGAAGAAUCCGUUGCCAACUUGGACUGGGCUCGAUUUGCAAACGGUGCCAUUCCCACAGCUGACUUAAGAUUGCAAAUGCAAAAGACUAUGCAAGUCCAUGCUGCUGUAUUCCGUACUGAAGACUCAUUGAAAGAAGGCGUUACCAAAAUGGAGAACUUGUAUGGAAAAAUGAAGGAUCUCAAAGUUUCUGACAGCAGCUUGAUCUGGAACACAGAUUUGGUAGAAACGUUCGAGCUUCAAAACUUGAUGUUGAAUGCCGUACAGACCAUCGUCGGUGCAGAAAAUAGAAAAGAAUCACGAGGUGCUCACGCAAGAGAGGAUUACAAGCUACGAGUUGACGAAUACGACUACAGCAAGCCAUUGGAAGGACAACAAAAGAAACCGUCGACAGAACAUUGGAGAAAACACACCUUGACUACAAUCGACGACAAGACAGGUAAGGUCAACAUCACCUACAGAGAAGUCAUCGACGAUACCUUAGACAAGAGCGAGUGUGCCACCGUACCUCCAGCAAUUAGAUCUUACUAGUUUACGCAACAGCGCAAAAAUUAUAUAAAACCGCAAACACAGCUACUCAAGAAUUUGUCAAAUCUAUUAUAGUGUCUGAAAUUAUGGAAACCUAACCUCAAUUAUAUGUUAACAAUGUCAAAUAAUCUGUCAGUAAGUAUGACAAGUGACAUAUGAUUGAUUAUCGUUUUACGUUUCUUUGACGUACCAAGUUUGUUUUUAAAUGUUUUUUUUUACUGAAAACGAUGUUUUCUUAAUAUUUUUUUACCACAUAGUGCCAUUUAUUAGUACAAAAACACAACAUGAAGUCGAUUUUCUAAGUUUUUAACAGUCGUUAAUUUUAGAUCGGGUAAGUCUGUGAUUUAUUGGCUAACGAUGCUCCAUCUACAGUUCUAAAUGUUACUUUUGAAUCGGAAGAGGUACCCGCACAUGCAAAGGGUAGAAAAACUAGUUCGAACAUACAUAACUAUUUGUCCAUUGCUGUGGAACACCAAUGGCCUACAAAAAUGAAGAUAUCAGUUAUUUUAUACCGAAAAUAUGUUUCAAUUGCACAGAUAUUCCUUGCUACCGAAAGUUAUCAAAUCAAAUGUGUACUAUUACAUCAAAUACAUGAGUGUCCAAACUAACUGUUGCUUGUAUAAUAUGGCAUUUCUCUGUUAAUAUGUCCGAUUGCAGUUGAAACAAAAUUCAUCAUUUUCAAAUAGAAACAUUUUACGACUAUGUCUUUGACGUUUAUUGAACUUUACUGAACUAUUGUCAUAGACUACCUCUGUUUGAAUAGAUAGAGGAGUUUACAUAGUUGCCAUAUUUCGAACUUUAUCCGACGAUUCAAAUAUUUUACUUCAAUAGCCAAUAAUUGUAUUUUUAGUGGUUCCAUAAUUUCAGAAUUUAGUAUACUUUGUCUGUAAGCACAUUUAAUCAUAAUCUAAGGGGCGCGUACUUAAAAACGAACAAGAACGACGGUUGUGUGCUCUUUCUAGUUGUUUUUCGAUUGAACAAAUCACGUCAAGUAUUUUAUUUUUGUGAUAUAUUAUAUCUACAGUAUAUUCGAUAAUUUAUUUGUUGUUAAUAGGUAUAGAUCUAUUUCCAAAAAUAUUUGCAAUAAAAAACAAGUCUGUUUCAAAGCUACAAUAUUUUGCGUUUUUUGUGAAGCUGAAUCGCGUUAAUUUUUCAAUUAGGCACAGGGUGCCAAAUGC
rnacentral:misc_RNA from 1 species